AUUUUGUGAUGGCAGCUUUCCCUUUACUGAAAAACUACUGUACAGAGUGAUUUUUGUGGGUUGACAUAGAUGUUUAGCUUGACUGUUGUUUGUUACCUUCUAAAUGAUUUGAUAUAUGGGAAAGCUUACUUUGAAAGAAGCUUCUCCGGUGUGGGGUGCGAACUAAGUUAUUGUUGGAGGCUUGAUGGAUUGAGGUUUCCUUAGUUUGAGAGUGUAAUUGUAGUACGUCUGAUGGAAUUGUGAAG
rnacentral:misc_RNA from 1 species